rnacentral:snRNA from 1 species
AGAGGCGGUGGGGGGGGGGGCGUUUUGGUUUUGUUGCGUGGAAAAAGCAUCCGAUAUGGCUGGUCCACAGAACGUGGGUGGGAAGGCGGCGACGUCCGUACUGAUGAGGUUCAUCAACUCUCCGACUGGGCCGAGAACGACUCAUUUUU